GGCCGGUUAGCUCAGUUGAUUGGAGCGUUGUGCUAUUAACACAAAUAUCGUGGGUUCAAGCCCCAUACUGGCCA
rfam:Octopus bimaculoides Scaffold1020_contig_35, whole genome shotgun sequence.